CGUGCUUAACACAUGCAAGUCGAACGGAAAGGCCUCUUCGGAGGUACUCGAGUGGCGAACGGGUGAGUAACACGUGGGCAAUCUGCCCUGCACUUCGGGAUAAGCCUGGGAAACUGGGUCUAAUACCGGAUAGGACCUUUAGACGCAUGUCUUUUGGUGGAAAGCUUUUGCGGUGUGGGAUGGGCCCGCGGCCUAUCAGCUUGUUGGUGGGGUGAUGGCCUACCAAGGCAGACGACAGGGUAGCCGGCCUGAGAGGUGUCCAGCCACGCUGGACUGAGAUACGCCCAAGCUC
rnacentral:rRNA from 1 species